GUACACGCUGUGACUAUGCAUAUCAAUAAGCGGAGGAAAAGAAACUAACAAGGAUUCCCCUAGUAACGGCGAGUGAAGCGGGAAGAGCUCAAAUUUGAAAUCUUAAAGGGUUUCCCUUUACGAAUUGUAGUUUAAAGAAGUGUUUUCUGUUGAGGUUUUGGUAAAAGUUCUUUGGAAUAGGACAUCAUAGAGGGUGAGAAUCCCGUAUUUGACCUUUACUUUCAACUUUGUGAUACACUUUCAAAGAGUCGGAUUGUUUGGGAAUGCAGUCCAAAAUGGGUGGUAAAUUUCAUCUAAAGCUAAAUAUUGGCGAGAGACCGAUAGCGAACAAGUACCGUGAGGGAAAGAUGAAAAGAACUUUGAAAAGAGAGUUAAACAGUACGUGAAAUUGUCAAAAGGGAAGCGUUUGACACCAGUGUUUGUUUUUCUGAAAAUCAAUUAAAGAACUGUUUAUGCUAAGCUUGUUUAGACUUUAUCAGCUAAUCUGUUUAGUUUUGAGCUUUUCUUUAAUGCACUUUUCAGUUAACAAGUCAACAUCAAUUUCUUUUGCUGUAAAAAAGCUUGAGGAAGGUGGCUUGAGAUUCGUCUUAAGUGUUUAUAGCCUCUUGCCUAUGCAGUCGGAGAGAUUGAGGUCUGCAGCGUAGAUCCUUCGGGGCUAAAUGCAUUUGUGCUAAGUUAUAGCAUUUUAUAGACAACUUGUUGACUAUGAUUUGUCUUGUAGCUUACUCGCUUAUGUUAUUUUACCUACGCUUAGGAUGUUGACAGCAGUAUAGACUGU
rnacentral:rRNA from 1 species